UACAGAGGUCCCAAGCGUUGUUCGGAUUCAUUGGGCGUAAAGGGUGCGUAGGUGGCGCCAUAAGUCGGGUGUGAAAUCUCCGGGCUUAACCCGGAAAGGUCAACUGAUACUGCAGGGCUAGAGUGCAGAAGGGGCAACUGGAAUUCUCGGUGUAGCGGUGAAAUGCGUAGAUAUCGAGAGGAACACCUGCGGCGAAGGCGGGUUGCUGGGCUGACACUGACGCUGAGGCGCGAAAGCCAGGGGAGCGAACGGG
rnacentral:rRNA from 1 species